UACAGAGGUCUCAAGCGUUGUUCGGAUUCAUUGGGUGUAAAGGGUGCGUAGGCGGCGCGGUAAGUCGGGUGUGAAAUCUCGGGGCUUAACUCCGAAACUGCAUUCGAUACUGCCGUGCUUGAGGACUGGAGAGGAGACUGGAAUUUACGGUGUAGCGGUGAAAUGCGCAGAUAUCAGGAGGAACACCGAUGGCGAAGGCGGGUCUCUGGGCCGAUACUGACGCUGAGGAGCGAAAGCGUGGGGAGCGAACAGG
rnacentral:rRNA from 1 species